rnacentral:rRNA from 1 species
GACGAACGCUGGCGGCGUGCCUAACACAUGCAAGUCGAGCGAAGAAUACAUAAAGAAAUCUUCGGAUGGAAUUAUGUAUUUCUUAGCGGCGGACGGGUGAGUAACGCGUGAGGAACCUGCCUUGUACUAGGGGAUAGCCUCGGGAAACCGGGAUUAAUACCCUAUGACACUUGAAAGUCGCAUGACUUUCAAGUCAAAGCGAUUUAGCGGUACAAGAUGGCCUCGCGUCCCAUUAGCUAGUUGGCGAGGUAAUAGCUCACCAAGGCGACGAUGGGUAGCCGGCCUGAGAGGGUGAACGGCCACACUGGAACUGAGACACGGUCCAGACUCCUACGGGAGGCAGCAGUGGGGAAUAUUGCACAAUGGAGGAAACUCUGAUGCAGCGACGCCGCGUGAGCGAUGAAGGUUUUCGAAUCGUAAAGCUCUGUCCUAAGGGACGAUAAUGACGGUACCUUAGGAGGAAGCCCCGGCUAACUACGUGCCAGCAGCCGCGGUAAU